rnacentral:rRNA from 1 species
UACGAAGGGGGCUAGCGUUGCUCGGAAUUACUGGGCGUAAAGCGCACGUAGGCGGAUUGUUAAGUCGGGGGUGAAAUCCUGGAGCUCAACUCCAGAACUGCCUUCGAUACUGGCGAUCUAGAGUCCGGGAGAGGUGAGUGGAACUGCGAGUGUAGAGGUGAAAUUCGUAGAUAUUCGCAAGAACACCAGUGGCGAAGGCGGCUCACUGGCCCGGUACUGACGCUGAGGUGCGAAAGCGUGGGAGCAAACAGG